GACGAACGCUGGCGGCGUGCUUAACACAUGCAAGUCGAACGGAAAGGCCCUGCUUGCAGGGUAUUCGAGUGGCGAACGGGUGAGUAACACGUGGGUGAUCUGCCCUGCACUUCGGGAUAAGCCUGGGAAACUGGGUCUAAUACCGGAUAGGAGCCAUUUUUAGUGUGAUGGUUGGAAAGUUUUUUCGGUGUGGGAUGAGCUCGCUGCCUAACAGCUUGUUGGUGGGGCAAUGGCCUACCAAGGCGGCGACGGGUAGCCGGCCGGAGAGGGUGGACGGCCGACUUGGGACUGAGAGACGGCCCAGACUCCUACGGGAGGCAGCAGGGGGGAAUAUUGCACAAGGGGCGCAAGCCUGAUGCAGCGGCGCCGCGGAGGGGAUGACGGCCUUCGGGUUGUAAACUCCUUUCGCUAGGGACGAAGCUUUUUGUGACGGUACCUAGAUAAGAAGCACCGGCUAACUACGUG
rnacentral:rRNA from 1 species